CAUAAUUCACUCAGUGUGAAGAGGAUGAAAGAGAGAGAGAGAGACACGUUAGUGAUAUCAUUUAAGGCACUAUUGGAAGGCCCUCAGAAGUGUUGUGUGAUUCUGCACCACCCAUAAUGCAGCACUGGAAAACAUUGCUCUGCCACCAUAAACUGAAAAAGAGGAGAAAAACUGGAAUAAAAAUAAUUAAACUGCUGAAACUAGAAAGAAACAUACACACUUUGUGGACAAAGGAGAAAAAAUAUAUAUGUGCACUAAGUUCACAUGUGGCACACAAUACAAAUGGAUCACUUUAGACCUCAUCCAAAGCCCAUUGAAGUCAAUCACUUUAAAAUGUGGCAGACAUGCAGCUUUUAUGGCAUCCCACUUCAUAGGGUGUGAAGUCAUAUCUCACCAGCUUGUGGUUAUUGCUCAUAUCUUCUGAAGAAACCCAAUGGCCAUUAGGAGGAUGUAAAACUUUGCUUUCAAUUGAAGAACAUGCAACCCUUGUAAAUGUGUGCUCCUUUACAUUGCUUCUAAUGCUAUUACAAUUUCAUGGACACACUGGUCUCUGAUAAUGAGCCCAGAAUAGGAAAGUGUAUGAUAUUCCUGGUGUUCCAAGCAGAUACUUAUGUCUCUGUAGUGGGGCAGUCACCCCACUCCCUGGCUAAGAGGGGUUAAAAGCAGCCCUGGAGAGGGCUGCAGCUGAGAAGAAGGGUAGGCUGAUUGCGGAAACAGCCAUAGCUGGGGCCACGCCCAAAUCAGGCCACAGCUGGCCCUAUAAAAAGGCUGUGAGGCAGCAGCUUAGGUAGUCUCUCUCUAGCGGUGGAGAGAGAAGGACAUGACUGCCUGGGAGCUGAGCAGGAUGCCUGAGGUGGAGCAGGGCCUGCUCCAGGCACCAGCACAGCAAGCUGGUGCUUGAGGCAGCCCCUGGAAGCGGGAAGCACGUCCGGGUCUUCAUCAGCAAUUCGGCAGCGGGUCCCUCAGUCCCUCUCCGAGAAAAGGACCGGCCGCUGAAUUGACGCUGAAGAAUGAAGCGGCACAGUAGAGCAGCCGCCAAAGUGCUGCCGAUCGCAGGUUGUUUUUUUUUCUUCACCGCUUGGGGUGGCAAAAAAGCUAGAGCUGUCCCUGGGGCUGG